rnacentral:misc_RNA from 1 species
AAGUCGUAACAAGGUUUCCGUAGGUGAACCUGCGGAAGGAUCAUUACCGAGUUAGGGUUCCUCCAACGGGCCCGACCUCCCAACCCUGUGUCUACUACACCUUUGUCGUUGCUUCGGCGGACCGGUUAACCAAAACUGGCCGCGACCGCCGGGGGGCCAAACACCCCUGGAGAGCGUCCGCCGACGGCCCAACCACAAACGCUUGUACGAAAAUCUGUCUGAAUUGACUUGAUUAAAUCAAACCACAAAACUUUCAACAACGGAUCUCUUGGUUCUG